GAUGAACGCUGGCGGCGUGCCUAAUACAUGCAAGUCGAGCGAACAGACGAGGAGCUUGCUCCUCUGACGUUAGCGGCGGACGGGUGAGUAACACGUGGAUAACCUACCUAUAAGACUGGGAUAAUUUCGGGAAACCGGAGCUAAUACCGGAUAAUAUAUUGAACCGCAUGGUUCAAUAGUGAAAGACGGUUUUGCUGUCUCUUAUAGAUGGAUCCGCGCCGCAUUAGCUAGUUGGUAAGGUAACGGCUUACCAAGGCAACGAUGCGUAGCCGAGCUGAGAGGGUGAUAGGCCACACUGGAACUGAGACACGGUCCAGACUCCUACGGGAGGCAGCAGUAGGGUAUCUUCCGCAAUGGGCGAAAGCUUGACGGAGCAACGCCGCGUGAGUGAUGAAGGUCUUCGGAUCGUAAAACUCUGUUAUUAGGGAAGAACAGAUGUGUAAGUAACCAUGCACGUCUUGACGGUACCUAAUCAGAAAGCCACGGCUAACUACGUG
rnacentral:rRNA from 1 species